rnacentral:rRNA from 1 species
AAGUUCGAAAGGGGAGAUUCAUCGUCAACGAUGCUGUCCUAGCGGUGAUUCGUGAUGUUUCGGGGUUUCGGUCCUGGGACACGCGAUCAUCGUUUUGCGUACAGUGGCGUCGGCGUGCACUUCUCCCCUAGUAGAACGUCGCGACCCGUUGGGUGCUGGUCUUUUACGGUCCGGGUGGAUGCCUGCCGCAACGCGUAAGCGUGUGCGGCAGACCCUCGGUAACCAAAGAAUCGGCUGCCCGGCGGUACUCCCAUGGUAUCGGGCCGCAAAAAAUUCGAACUGCGUCGGGCCCGUUUUGUCCGGCGGUCAUGUUUAAGGUGGAACGGACCUAGUGCCGUGCCAUCGAAUACAGACUUAGCUUGCGUCAGACGGUGUCCUCCGACUGGCCAUAGAACGAUAACGAUACCGGUCAGCGACGCUACUGCUUUGGGUAAUCUCAGGACCCGUCUUGAAACACGGACCAAGGAGUCUAACAUGUGCGCGAGUCAUUGGGACUUGCAAACCUAAAGGCGAAAUGAAAGUGAAGGUUGGCCUAUGCGCCAACCGAGGGAGGAUGAGGCGCGUUACGAUGCGUCUCCGCACUCCCGGGGCGUCUCGUUCUCAUUCGAGAAGAGGCGCACCCAGAGCGUACACGUUGGGACCCGAAAGAUGGUGAACUAUGCCUGGUCAGGACGAAGUCAGGGGAAACCCUGAUGGAGGUCCGUAGCGAUUCUGACGUGCAAAUCGAUCGUCGGAA